UUAAGCGACUAAGCGUACACGGUGGAUGCCCUGGCAGUCAGAGGCGAUGAAGGACGUGCUAAUCUGCGAAAAGCGUCGGUAAGGUGAUAUGAACCGUUAUAACCGGCGAUGUCCGAAUGGGGAAACCCAGUGCAAUUCGUUGCACUAUCGUUAACUGAAUACAUAGGUUAACGAGGCGAACCGGGGGAACUGAAACAUCUAAGUACCCCGAGGAAAAGAAAUCAACCGAGAUUCCCCCAGUAGCGGCGAGCGAACGGGGAGCAGCCCAGAGUCUGAAUCAGCUUGUGUGUUAGUGGAACGGUCUGGAAAGUCCGACGGUACAGGGUGAUAGUCCCGUACACCAAAAUGCACAGGUUGUGAACUCGAAGAGUAGGGCGGGACACGUGGUAUCCUGUCUGAAUAUGGGGGGACCAUCCUCCAAGGCUAAAUACUCCUGACUGACCGAUAGUGAACCAGUACCGUGAGGGAAAGGCGAAAAGAACCCCGGCGAGGGGAGUGAAAAAGAACCUGAAACCGUGUACGUACAAGCAGUGGGAGCACCUUCGGGUGUGACUGCGUACCUUUUGUAUAAUGGGUCAGCGACUUAUAUUCUGUAGCAAGGUUAACCGUAUAGGGGAGCCGCAGGGAAACCGAGUCUUAACUGGGCGUUAAGUUGCAGGGUAUAGACCCGAAACCCGGUGAUCUAGCCAUGGGCAGGUUGAAGGUUGGGUAACACUAACUGGAGGACCGAACCGACUAAUGUUGAAAAAUUAGCGGAUGACUUGUGGCUGGGGGUGAAAGGCCAAUCAAACCGGGAGAUAGCUGGUUCUCCCCGAAAGCUAUUUAGGUAGCGCCUCGUGAAUUCAUCUUCGGGGGUAGAGCACUGUUUCGGCUAGGGGGUCAUCCCGACUUACCAACCCGAUGCAAACUACGAAUACCGAAGAAUGUUAUCACGGGAGACACACGGCGGGUGCUAACGUCCGUCGUGAAGAGGGAAACAACCCAGACCGCCAGCUAAGGUCCCAAAGUCAUGGUUAAGUGGGAAACGAUGUGGGAAGGCACAGACAGCCAGGAUGUUGGCUUAGAAGCAGCCAUCAUUUAAAGAAAGCGUAAUAGCUCACUGGUCGAGUCGGCCUGCGCGGAAGAUGUAACGGGGCUAAACCAUGCACCGAAGCUGCGGCAGCGACACUAUGUGUUGUUGGGUAGGGGAGCGUUCUGUAAGCCUGCGAAGGUGACCUGUGAGGGUUGCUGGAGGUAUCAGAAGUGCGAAUGCUGACAUAAGUAACGAUAAAGCGGGUGAAAAGCCCGCUCGCCGGAAGACCAAGGGUUCCUGUCCAACGUUAAUCGGGGCAGGGUGAGUCGACCCCUAAGGCGAGGCCGAAAGGCGUAGUCGAUGGGAAACAGGUUAAUAUUCCUGUACUUGGUGUUACUGCGAAGGGGGGACGGAGAAGGCUAUGUUAGCCGGGCGACGGUUGUCCCGGUUUAAGCAUGUAGGCUGGUUAUCCAGGCAAAUCCGGAUAAUCAAGGCUGAGGUGUGAUGACGAGGCACUACGGUGCUGAAGUAACAAAUGCCCUGCUUCCAGGAAAAGCCUCUAAGCAUCAGGUAACAUCAAAUCGUACCCCAAACCGACACAGGUGGUCAGGUAGAGAAUACCAAGGCGCUUGAGAGAACUCGGGUGAAGGAACUAGGCAAAAUGGUGCCGUAACUUCGGGAGAAGGCACGCUGGUGUGUAGGUGAAGUCCCUGCGGAUGGAGCUGAGACCAGUCGAAGAUACCAGCUGGCUGCAACUGUUUAUUAAAAACACAGCACUGUGCAAACACGAAAGUGGACGUAUACGGUGUGACGCCUGCCCGGUGCCGGAAGGUUAAUUGAUGGGGUUAUCCGUAAGGAGAAGCUCUUGAUCGAAGCCCCGGUAAACGGCGGCCGUAACUAUAACGGUCCUAAGGUAGCGAAAUUCCUUGUCGGGUAAGUUCCGACCUGCACGAAUGGCGUAAUGAUGGCCAGGCUGUCUCCACCCGAGACUCAGUGAAAUUGAACUCGCUGUGAAGAUGCAGUGUACCCGCGGCAAGACGGAAAGACCCCGUGAACCUUUACUAUAGCUUGACACUGAACAUUGAGCCUUGAUGUGUAGGAUAGGUGGGAGGCUUUGAAGCGUGGACGCCAGUCUGCGUGGAGCCAACCUUGAAAUACCACCCUUUAAUGUUUGAUGUUCUAACGUUGGCCCCUUACCGGGGUUGCGGACAGUGUCUGGUGGGUAGUUUGACUGGGGCGGUCUCCUCCCAAAGCGUAACGGAGGAGCACGAAGGUUAGCUAAUCCUGGUCGGACAUCAGGAGGUUAGUGCAAUGGCAUAAGCUAGCUUGACUGCGAGCGUGACGGCGCGAGCAGGUGCGAAAGCAGGUCAUAGUGAUCCGGUGGUUCUGAAUGGAAGGGCCAUCGCUCAACGGAUAAAAGGUACUCCGGGGAUAACAGGCUGAUACCGCCCAAGAGUUCAUAUCGACGGCGGUGUUUGGCACCUCGAUGUCGGCUCAUCACAUCCUGGGGCUGAAGUAGGUCCCAAGGGUAUGGCUGUUCGCCAUUUAAAGUGGUACGCGAGCUGGGUUUAGAACGUCGUGAGACAGUUCGGUCCCUAUCUGCCGUGGGCGCUGGAGAAUUGAGGGGGGCUGCUCCUAGUACGAGAGGACCGGAGUGGACGCAUCACUGGUGUUCGGGUUGUCAUGCCAAUGGCACUGCCCGGUAGCUAAAUGCGGAAGAGAUAAGUGCUGAAAGCAUCUAAGCACGAAACUUGCCCCGAGAUGAGUUCUCCCUGAGACUUUAAGUCUCCUGAAGGAACGUUAAAGACGAUGACGUUGAUAGGCCGGGUGUGUAAGCGCAGCGAUGCGUUGAGCUAACCGGUACUAAUGAACCGUGAGGCUUAACCUU
rnacentral:rRNA from 1 species